UACAGAGGUCUCAAGCGUUGUUCGGAUUCAUUGGGCGUAAAGGGCGCGUAGGCUGCGGGGCAAGUCGGGUGUGAAAUCUCAGAGCUCAACUCUGAAACUGCACUCGAUACUGCUUUGCUCGAGGACUGGAGAGGAGAUUGGAAUUCACGGUGUAGCAGUGAAAUGCGUAGAUAUCGUGAGGAGGACCAGUGGCGAAGGCGGAUCUCUGGACAGUUCCUGACGCUGAGGCGCGAAGGCCAGGGGAGCAAACGGG
rnacentral:rRNA from 1 species